rnacentral:pre_miRNA from 1 species
AGCCUUCUGAAUCCGUGCCGAGAUUUCGUCAGACACCAGACCAUCACUACUUAUCAGACUCCCAAAAUAAGUGAAGCG